AUUUCUUUAGUGUACGAGCAUAUAUGCCUUCCAAGCAUAGGGACCCUCCAGGGAAGAAAUA
rnacentral:tRNA from 1 species